rnacentral:misc_RNA from 1 species
ACCCCUGUGAACAUACCACUUGUUGCCUCGGCNGNUCAGCCCGCUCCCGGUAAAACGGGACGGCCCGCCAGAGGACCCCUAAACUCUGUUUCUAUAUGUAACUUCUGAGUAAAACCAUAAAUAAAUCAAAACUUUCAACAACGGAUCUCNNGGUUCUGGCAUCGAUGANNNACGCAGCAANAUGCGAUAAGUAAUGUGAAUUGC